rnacentral:rRNA from 1 species
GAACGCUGGCGGCGUGCCUAAUACAUGCAAGUCGAACGGCUUUUCUAUGGAAGCUUGCUUCCACUGAGAAGAUAGUGGCGAACGGGUGAGUAACACGUGGGUAACCUGCCCAUAAGAGGGGGAUAACAUCCGGAAACGGGUGCUAAUACCGCAUAGUUUUCUUGAUUGCAUGAUUGAGAAAGGAAAGACGGCCUUUGUGCUGUCGCUUAUGGAUGGACCCGCGGCGUAUUAGUUAGUUGGUGAGGUAACGGCUCACCAAGACGAUGAUACGUAGCCGACCUGAGAGGGUGAUCGGCCACAUUGGGACUGAGACACGGCCCAAACUCCUACGGGAGGCAGCAGUAGGGAAUCUUCCGCAAUGGACGAAAGUCUGACGGAGCAACGCCGCGUGAGUGAAGAAAGGUUUUCGGAUCGUAAAACUCUGUUGUCAGAGAAGAACAAGUUGGAGAGUAACUGCUCCAGCCUUGACGGUAUCUGACCAGAAAGCCACGGCUAACUACGUGCCAGCCGCUGC